rnacentral:rRNA from 1 species
GAGUUUGAUCCUGGCUCAGAGUGAACGCUGGCGGCGUGCCUAAUACAUGCAAGUCGAACGGAGAUUAAGUAGCUUGCUAUUUAAUCUUAGUGGCGCACGGGUGAGUAAUAUAUAGCUAAUCUGCCCUACACUAGAGGACAACAGUUGGAAACGACUGCUAAUACUCUAUACUCCUUCUUUACAUAAGUUAAGUCGGGAAAGUUUUUCGGUGUAGGAUGAGGCUAUAUCGUAUCAGCUAGUUGGUAGGGUAACGGCCUACCAAGGCUAUGACGCGUAACUGGUCUGAGAGGAUGAUCAGUCACACUGGAACUGAGACACGGUCCAGACUCCUACGGGAGGCAGCAGUAGGGAAUAUUGCUCAAUGGGGGAAACCCUGAAGCAGCAACGCCGCGUGGAGGAUGACACUUUUCGGAGCGUAAACUCCUUUUCUUGGGAAAGAAUUAUGACGGUACCCAAGGAAUAAGCACCGGCUAACUCCGUGCCAGCAGCCGCGGUAAUACGGAGGGUGCAAGCGUUACUCGGAAUCACUGGGCGUAAAGGACGCGUAGGCGGAUUAUCAAGUCUCUUGUGAAAUCUAACGGCUUAACCGUUAAACUGCUUGGGAAACUGAUAAUCUAGAGUAAGGGAGAGGCAGAUGGAAUUCUUGGUGUAGGGGUAAAAUCCGUAGAGAUCAAGAAGAAUACCCAUUGCGAAAGCGAUCUGCUGGAACUUAACUGACGCUAAUGCGUGAAAGCGUGGGGAGCAAACAGGAUUAGAUACCCUGGUAGUCCACGCCCUAAACGAUGUAUACUAGUUGUUGCUUCGCUAGUCGAGGCAGUAAUGCACCUAACGGAUUAAGUAUACCGCCUGGGGAGUACGGUCGCAAGAUUAAAACUCAAAGGAAUAGACGGGGACCCGCACAAGCGGUGGAGCAUGUGGUUUAAUUCGAAGAUACGCGAAGAACCUUACCCGGACUUGAUAUCUAACAAAUCAUCCAGAGAUGGAAGAGUGUCUGCUUGCAGAAAUGUUAAGACAGGUGCUGCACGGCUGUCGUCAGCCCGUGUCGUGAGAUGUUGGGUUAAGUCCCGCAACGAGCGCAACCCACGUCAUUAGUUGCUAACGGUUCGGCCGAGCACUCUAAUGAGACUGCCUUCGUAAGGAGGAGGAAGGUGUGGACGACGUCAAGUCAUCAUGGCCCUUAUGUCCGGGGCGACACACGUGCUACAAUGGCGUAUACAAUAAGACGCAAUAUCGCGAGAUGGAGCAAAUCUAUAAAAUACGUCCCAGUUCGGAUUGGAGUCUGCAACUCGACUCCAUGAAGCCGGAAUCGCUAGUAAUCGUAGAUCAGCCAUGCUACGGUGAAAUACGUUCCCGGGUCUUGUACACACCGCCCGUCA